GUGCCAGCAGCCGCGGUAAUACGAAGGGGGCUAGCGUUGCUCGGAAUGACUGGGCGUAAAGGGCGCGUAGGCGGAUUGUACAGUCAGACGUGAAAUUCCUGGGCUCAACCUGGGGGCUGCGUUUGAUACGUAUAGUCUUGAGUGAGGAAGAGGGUUGUGGAAUUCCCAGUGUAGAGGUGAAAUUCGUAGAUAUUGGGAAGAACACCGGUGGCGAAGGCGGCAACCUGGUCCUUUACUGACGCUGAGGCGCGAAAGCGUGGGGAGCAAACAGGAUUAGAAACCCCAGUAGUCC
rnacentral:rRNA from 1 species